AUACGUAGGAUGCAAGCGUUAUCCGGAUUUAUUGGGUUUAAAGGGUGCGUAGGCGGUUUGCUAAGCGGGAGGUGAAAUGCCGGCGCUCAACGUCGGAAGUGCCUCCCGAACUGGUGGACUGGAAUGACUCUGCCGUGGGAGGAAUGUAUAGUGUAGCGGUGAAAUGCUUAGAGAUUACACAGAACACCGAUUGCGAAGGCAUCUCACGAAGGGUUGAUUGACGCUGAGGCACGAAAGCGUGGGGAUCAAACAGGAUUAGAUACCCUGGUAGUCCACGCAGUAAACGAUGAUGGCUAACCGCUGGUUUAUUCGGAUCAGUGGCCAAGCGAAAGCGAUAAGCCAUCCACCUGGGGAGUACGACCGCAAGGUUGAAACUCAAAUGAAUUGACGGGG
rnacentral:rRNA from 1 species